rnacentral:tRNA from 2 species
GCCUUGUUGGCUAAGUGGUAUAGCGUCUCACUAGUAUGCUAGUGUCAUGAGAAGAUCGGCGGUUCGAUUCCGCCACGAGGCA